rnacentral:rRNA from 1 species
UACGGGGGGGGCAAGCGUUGUUCGGAAUUACUGGGCGUAAAGGGCUCGUAGGUGGCCAAUUAAGUCAGACGUGAAAUCCCUCGGCUUAACCGGGGAACUGCGUCUGAUACUGGACGGCUUGAGUUUGGGAGAGGGACGCGGAAUUCCAGGUGUAGCGGUGAAAUGCGUAGAUAUCUGGAGGAACACCGGUGGCGAAGGCGGCGUCCUGGACCAACACUGACACUGAGGAGCGAAAGCCAGGGGAGCAAACGGG